rnacentral:lncRNA from 1 species
AUACCGAGUGCCACAAACCACCUUGCAGCAACAGAGUCAUAAACUGAAGAGGAUAGAAAGGAUUUUAAUAGGAGAUUAAAAGGAAGAAGUGACUCACUGGAUGAGAGAAAAGAGGGAGUGCGCAGGCUUUGACUGCAGGAGAGCUGCUUUGUGAUGCCUCUGAGUGCACCGAGGAUCCCAGAUCCUCUCUUCUUCUCUGCUCCCAUCAGGAACCAGAAAAGAUCCUCAGAACUCUGAUGGAAAGACAAGACACGUGAGGUAGUAUAUUAUUCUGAAUGGA